rnacentral:rRNA from 1 species
GACGAACGCUGGCGGCGUGCUUAACACAUGCAAGUCGAACGGAAAGGCCCUGCUUUUGUGGGGUGCUCGAGUGGCGAACGGGUGAGUAACACGUGAGUAACCUGCCCUUGACUUUGGGAUAACUUCAGGAAACUGGGGCUAAUACCGGAUAGGAGCUCCUGCUGCAUGGUGGGGGUUGGAAAGUUUCGGCGGUUGGGGAUGGACUCGCGGCUUAUCAGCUUGUUGGUGGGGUAGUGGCUUACCAAGGCUUUGACGGGUAGCCGGCCUGGGAGGGUGACCGGGCACAUUGGGACUGAGGUACGGCCCAGAAUCCUCCGGGGGGGAGCAGUGGGGAAUAAUGCAACAUGGGGGGAAACCGGAUGCCGCAACGCCGCGUGCGGGAUGACGGCCUUCGGGUUGUAAACCGCUUUCGCCUGUGACGAAGCGUGAGUGACGGUAAUGGGUAAAGAAGCACCGGCUAACUACGUG